rnacentral:misc_RNA from 1 species
GUGAAUCAUCGAAUUUUUGAACGCAUAUUGCACUAUCUGGUAUUCCGGAGAGUAUGCCUAUUUGAGGGUCAUUUGAAAUAAUAUAAAUUUGGAGAUUUUCUUUAAAUCAGAAAUGGGUCGGUACAGCUUUCGUGUGGGGGUCGCCUAAAAUUCAAGACAAACUCAUUUCUUGGGUUGCGUGAUACUUUCAGUUACCUCUUUACUUCACAAGAAGUAUUCUAGCGUGUUAAGAAUAGAUAAAGAGUUGAACUUCAUUUAGCAUGAGUUCAAUAUUAGAUUAGAU